rnacentral:rRNA from 1 species
CCAGAGAACUUAGCAGAGAUGCUUUGGUGCCUUCGGGAACUCUGAGACAGGUGCUGCAUGGCUGUCGUCAGCUCGUGUGUGAAAUGUUGGGUUAAGUCCCGCAACGAGCGCAACCCUUAUCCUUUGUUGCCAGCGGCUCGGCCGGGAACUCAAAGGAGACUGCCGGUGAUAAACCGGAGGAAGGUGGGGAUGACGUCAAGUCAUCAUGGCCCUUACGGCCAGGGCUACACACGUGCUACAAUGGCGCAUACAAAGAGAAGCGACCUCGCGAGAGCAAGCGGACCUCAUAAAGUGCGUCGUAGUCCGGAUUGGAGUCUGCAACUCGACUCCAUGAAGUCGGAAUCGCUAGUAAUCGUAGAUCAGAAUGCUACGGUGAAUACGUUCCCGGGCCUUGUACACACCGCCCGUCACACCAUGGGAGUGGGUUGCAAAAGAAGUAGGUAGCUUAACCUUCGGGAGGGCGCUUACCACUUUGUGAUUCAUGACUGGGGUGAAGUCGUAACAAGGUAGGCGUAGCGAG